rnacentral:lncRNA from 1 species
UCUAAUGAAAAUUGAUUAUUUGUAGAAGAGCUCUUGAAGAUAUGCAUUAUACAAGAUUAUUACUUUUGAAAGUUAUUUUAUGAUAUAAUAUUUUUGUUUAAUAUAUGUAAGAAUAGUUUUCAUUUGCAGAUUAGAAAUGGAUCAACAAUUGUAAAUCUAUUAAAAAGUAUUGUGAUUCUUCUAAGAUAAACAUGUAAAAUACAAAUAUAGCAAUUAUGGAAGAUAGGAAAUAACUAGGAAUAUUCCAAACAUGGUCAACCAAUGCCAUGCCGAUGAGAACCAAAGCACCCAGAGUAGAUCGUAUUCAGCGCCACCGUACAUUCCUCGGAUAUGAAGUACGUAGGCAGGGCACGACGCCAGCCUUCCAACCAAUGCACCGGCGGCGGUGCUUUCAUUCGAAAGGAAGAGCGGGACCCAACCAUGCCCAAUUAUUAUUUGAUGCCGUGCGGCAGCAUCAGCAGCAGUUCUUCCACAGGCAGAGUCGUUGAAUGAAUAUGCUAGCAGCGUGUUAUUCUGUCCGCACUGAGCUGAGUUCGUCGCAGCAGAGAUAGCGGAGCAUCAACUCCCUUUCUCUUUCCCAUGCUCGACGCGGCAGUUUGAAAUCGCGUUGUCAGGGAGAGGUAAAUCGAUAUCACCAAAUCGGGGGUGGGGAAGUUAGAACUGGAAGAUGCAGUUUAGUAAACGUCCCUGAAGAAUCAACCUUGGACCAUUAUAGAAACGUUGACUGAAUGACCGAUGCAUCACUCUAUGGGAAUAGAUUUUGUUUCGCGGUAGAAUUUGUUCCAAAGUUAGGAUAAGACUAGAUGCAGCCUCUGUUGAUAUUUUGAACAUGCUAUACAAUGUUUCUAUUUCCUCAUUGCCACACCCCC